UACGGAGGGGGCAAGCGUUAAUCGGAAUUACUGGGCGUAAAGCGCACGCAGGCGGUUUGGUAAGUUAGGUGUGAAAGCCCCGGGCUCAACCUGGGAAUUGCCUUUAAAACUGUUCAGCUAGAGGCUUGGAGAGGGGGGUAGAAUUCCAGGUGUAGCGGUGAAAUGCGUAGAGAUCUGGAGGAAUACCGGUGGCGAAGGCGGCCCCCUGGACAAAGACUGACGCUCAGGUGCGAAAGCGUGGGGAGCAAACAGG
rnacentral:rRNA from 1 species